GAUUUGUAAAGAAAUAAUUUUUGGUAAUGUGGUUGUUUAUUUUAUGAUAUUUACUGAUAUCGAAAAUCAAACGUUUUUUUUAAAAUGAAUUAGUAUUAAGUUCCUUUCUGUAUAUUUUACUAGACUGAUGAAUAUAUAUAUUUUAUUCAAAGUCUUAUGUGAGAAUAUAUUUUCAUGUCUUUGUUUUGACCCGGCCAUGGACUCAACGUGGAUCUUCACACUCGCAUCGAACUUACUUUAACGAAAGCACAUAACUUGUUUAUCUGGUCAACAAUUGUCACUUUGGUAUAGAGUUAUCUCAUACCACAUCUUCGUAUAUCUAUUAAAUCGAUGUAUAGGUCUUUAGAAAUUUAAAGGACAGUAUGCCUUUUAUAAUCAAAGGUAUCUGAUGAAUGAUAUAUUAAGAUUGUGUCUUUUUACUACCGCUCAUCAAUUAAUCUCAUGUAUGCUCAUAGCCACAAUGACAAGUAUUUACUGUUAUCUAUCUUGUUUUUCAUGUGGUUAUUUAUAUUUGUUUUUGUAAUUUAUAAUGCCAUAUUUCACAUAGCUUUUUAAAUUAUCAUCUAAAUAUUAUUUAACAGUUUAUUUAAUUAAGAUACACCAAAGCACUUGGCGGUUUUUAUUUUUUUUUUAAAUAUUUUGUUGUGUUGAGCAAAUUAGAUAUUCUUGAAAGUCUAUGUGACAUUUUGUGAAAUACGUCUACUGAAUGUUGUAGUGUGUAUUUUUAUUGACACAUGGUUAAAAGUGACAUACGCCUGUAAACUGUCAUACAAGUGAAAGGUUCAGCACUAUGAAACCAGGUUCAAUCCACCAUUUUCUACAUUUGAAAAUGCCAGUACUAAGUCAUGGAAGAGGGACGAAAAAUACCAGAGGGACAGUCAAACUCAUAAAUCGAAAAUAAACUGACAUUGCCAUGGCUAAAAAUGAAAAAGACAAACAGACAAACACCAGUACACAUGAAACAACACAGAAAACUAAAGAAUAAGCAACACGAACCCCACAAAAAACUAGGGGUGAUAAAAGGUGCUCCGGAAGAGUAAGCAGAUCAUGUUCCACAUGUGGCACCCAUCGUGUUGCUCAUAUUAUAAUAAAUCCGGUAAAUAUAGUCUGCUUCUGUAUAUGACAGUUGUUGUCCAUUCGUUUGAUGUGUUUUGUCAUUUGAUUUUGCCAUUUGAUUAGGGACUUUCCGUUUUGAAUUUUCUUCGGCGUUCAAUAUUUUUUGUUAUUUUACUCUUUUCUAUCUCAUUGACAAAUGAACUACAUCUCUGUUCUUAGAAAGACCACAAAAUAUCUUAUAAGCAUUCAAAUGAAUGUGUUAUUUUGUUAUUUUUCUAAUUUGACAAUGAACAUGAAGUGAAAAUAAAUGAUUUUAACG
rnacentral:lncRNA from 1 species